UACGGUAGGGUGCAAGCGUUGUCCGGAAUUAUUGGGCGUAAAGAGCUCGUAGGCGGCUUGUCGUCGUCGGCUGUGAAAAACCUAGGGCUACAACCCUGGGCUUGCAGCCGAUACGGGCAAGCUAGAAUUCGGUAGGGGAGUACUGGAAUUCCUGGUGUAGCGGUGAAAUGCGCAGAUAUCAGGAGGAACACCGGUGCGAAGGCGGGUCUCUGGGCCGAUAUUGAC
rnacentral:rRNA from 1 species